CACCAGGUUGAUUCUGCCUGACGUGUGCGCUAGUCUUGAGGAUUUAGCCAUGCAUGCCAAGCGAAGCUUAUGUGAAGCGGCGGACAGCUCAGUAAUACAGUUAUUAUUUACUCGUGGUAUGUAUAUGGAUAACCAUGGUAAACUAUGGCUAAUACAUGAACAGGUUAUCAUAAUGGUGAGACAUUGGUAACGGACAGGAGGCGACCACGAUUAAGUUUCUGGCCUAUCAGCUAUUAGAAGGUAGGGUAAUGGCCUACCUUGGCUAUGACGGGUAACGGGGGAUCAGUGUCUGAUACCGGAGAGGGAGCCUGAGAAAUAGCUCCCACGUCUAAGGAUGGCAGCAGGCGCGAAACUUACCCAAUCUCUUUAUGGAGGAGGUAGUGAAGAGACAUGAGAUAUAUAUCUACAGACUAUACAAUAAAGUAGUAUAGGAUCGACUGGAGGGCAAGUCUGGUGCCAGCAGCCGCGG
rnacentral:rRNA from 1 species